UACGUAGGGUGCGAGCGUUAAUCGGAAUUACUGGGCGUAAAGUGUGCGCAGGCGGUUUCGCAAGUCAAGUGUGAAAGCCCCGGGCUUAACCUGGGAACUGCGCUUGAAACUACGGAACUCGAGUAUGGCAGAGGAAGGUGGAAUUCCACGUGUAGCGGUGAAAUGCGUAGAGAUGUGGAGGAACACCGAUGGCGAAGGCGGCUUCCUGGCUCAUUACUGACGUUCAGGUACGAAAGCGUGGGUAGCAAACAGG
rnacentral:rRNA from 1 species